AGUCUUAUAGUUUAAAAAAAAUAUUAAUUUUGUAAAUUAAAGAUAAAUCAUAAUUUUAAUACUA
rnacentral:tRNA from 1 species